GUGAAUCAUCAAAUUUUUGAACGCCAAUUGCACUCUCCUCGGAGAGUAUGCCUGUUUGAGGGUCAGCCUAUAAAAACUCGACAUCGUUGCUGUUUCGCGGUGGCGUUCGUCGGUCAUUGGGUCAUCUUAAAUCCUUUUUGUUUUAGCGUCUUUAAAUAUUCCUUUUGGUUCCAUUUACGUUUUCAACCUUUUACUUCUUACACGUUUAAGGCUAUUGUUUUUUUUUAGCCUUGCCUUUCAUACGGAU
rnacentral:misc_RNA from 1 species